AGCACGCCGCGUGAGUGAUGAAGGCUUUCGGGUCGUAAAACUCUGUUGUUAGGGAAGAACAAGUGCUAGUUGAAUAAGCUGGCACCUUGACGGUACCUAACCAGAAAGCCACGGCUAACUACGUGCCAGCAGCCGCGGUAAUACGUAGGUGGCAAGCGUUAUCCGGAAUUAUUGGGCGUAAAGCGCGCGCAGGUGGUUUCUUAAGUCUGAUGUGAAAGCCCACGGCUCAACCGUGGAGGGUCAUUGGAAACUGGGAGACUUGAGUGCAGAAGAGGAAAGUGGAAUUCCAUGUGUAGCGGUGAAAUGCGUAGAGAUAUGGAGGAACACCAGUGGCGAAGGCGACUUUCUGGUCUGUAACUGACACUGAGGCGCGAAAGCGUGGGGAGCAAACA
rnacentral:rRNA from 1 species